UAACAUCAGGUGAACAUCAGGUGAACAACACAGCUCAAACUGUGGGCUUAUUAUAUACAGGGAUACUGUUAUGACUCAGGCUUUAAUGAAGGCAGGUCGACCAAUCUUCUUUUCGCUAUGUGAAUGGGGAGAUAUGCACCCAGCUUUGUGGGGUGCUAAAGUUGGAAAUAGUUGGAGAACUACUAAUGACAUAAAUGAUUCAUGGGAAAGUAGGAUUUCAAGGGCUGACAUGAAUGAAGUUUAUGCUGAGUUUGCAGGACU